rnacentral:rRNA from 1 species
GGCAGGCCUAACACAUGCAAGUCGUGCGAGACCUUCGGGUCUAGCGGCGGACGGGUUAGUAACGCGUGGGAACGUGCCCUUCUCUACGGAAUAGCCUCGGGAAACUGAGAGUAAUACCGUAUACGCCCUUCGGGGGAAAGAUUUAUCGGAGAAGGAUCGGCCCGCGUCUGAUUAGAUAGUUGGUGGGGUAAUGGCCUACCAAGUCUACGAUCAGUAGCUGGUUUUAGAGGAUGAUCAGCAACACUGGGACUGAGACACGGCCCAGACUCCUACGGGAGGCAGCAGUGGGGAAUCUUAGACAAUGGGCGAAAGCCUGAUCUAGCCAUGCCGCGUGUGUGAUGAAGGCCCUAGGGUCGUAAAGCACUUUCGCUGGGGAAGAUAAUGACUGUACCCAGUAAAGAAACCCCGGCUAACUCCGUGCCAGCAGCCGCGGUAAUACGGAGGGGGUUAGCGUUGUUCGGAAUUACUGGGCGUAAAGCGCGCGUAGGCGGAUUAGAAAGUUGGGGGUGAAAUCCCAGGGCUCAACCCUGGAACUGCCUCCAAAACUACUAGUCUAGAGUUCGAGAGAGGUGAGUGGAAUUCCGAGUGUAGAGGUGAAAUUCGUAGAUAUUCGGAGGAACACCAGUGGCGAAGGCGGCUCACUGGCUCGAUACUGACGCUGAGGUGCGAAAGUGUGGGGAGCAAACAGGAUUAGAUACCCUGGUAGUCCACACCGUAAACGAUGAAUGCCAGUCGUCGGCAAGCAUGCUUGUCGGUGACACACCUAACGGAUUAAGCAUUCCGCCUGGGGAGUACGGUCGCAAGAUUAAAACUCAAAGGAAUUG